rnacentral:snoRNA from 1 species
AGGCAGCCUCUAUGCGUGAUUUAAUCGCAUAUGAAGGUGUUAUUUUGCCCAUAAAUUAAUGUCUCUUGCUCUUCUGAUUUGCUGAGAAGAAUAGUAUUCUUCUUUGAAGCCGGUCUAGUAAGCCUAAGUACAUA